GAACAAUUUUUCAUGUGUCUGACAGACAAUUUAGAUAUUAGACAGAAUAUAGAUGAAUAUGGAUGGCCAAACACUUAAGGAAAGCUAACUGGAAUGGGA